GAUCCGGUAGUUCAGCUGGUUAGAAUACUUGCCUGUCACGCAAGUGGUCGCGGGUUCGAAUCCCGUCCGGAUCG
rnacentral:tRNA from 3 species